rnacentral:rRNA from 1 species
UUGUUGGUAAGGUAAAAGCUUACCAAGGCUUCGAUCAGUAGCUGGUCUGAGAGGACGACCAGCCACACUGGGACUGAGACACGGCCCAGACUCCUACGGGAGGCAGCAGUGGGGAAUUUUGGACAAUGGGGGCAACCCUGAUCCAGCCAUGCCGCGUGAGUGAAGAAGGCCUUCGGGUUGUAAAGCUCUUUCAGCCGGAACGAAACGGUUACGGUUAACACCCGUGACUACUGACGGUACCGGAAGAAGAAGCACCGGCUAACUACGUGCCAGCAGCCGCGGUAAUACGUAGGGUGCGAGCGUUAAUCGGAAUUACUGGGCGUAAAGCGUGCGCAGGUGGUUUUGUAAGUCAGAUGUGAAAGCCCCGGGCUCAACCUGGGAACUGCGUUUGAAACUACAAGACUAGAGUGUGGCAGAGGGGGGUGGAAUUCCGCGUGUAGCAGUGAAAUGCGUAGAGAUGUGGAGGAACACCGAUGGCGAAGGCAGCCCCCUGGGUCAACACUGACGCUCAGGCACGAAAGCAUGGGGAGCAAACAGGAUUAGAUACCCUGGUAGUCCAUGCCCUAAACGAUGUCAACUAGUUGUCGGGCCUUUACGGGCUUGGUAACGUAGCUWACGCGUGAAGUUGACCGCCUGGGGAGUACGAUCGCAAGAUUAAAACUCAAAUGAAUUGACGGGGACCCGCACAAGCGGUGGAUUAUGUGGAUUAAUUCGAUGCAACGCGAAAAACCUUACCUACCCUUGACAUGUAUCGAAGCCCGCAGAAAAGCGGGGGUGCCCGAAAGGGAACGAUAACACAGGUGCUGCAUGGCUGUCGUCAGCUCGUGUCGUGAGAUGUUGGGUUAAGUCCCGCAACGAGCGCAACCCUUGUCAUUAAUUGCCAUCAUUUAGUUGGGCACUUUAAUGAGACUGCCGG